rnacentral:misc_RNA from 1 species
UAGAAUAGGUUUCUCAAGGGUGGUCGGCACAUCCCCAAACAGAAAGGGGGUGGUGCUGAAUGACAGUUUUUGAAUCACUAAUGAUGGCGAUUGCUUUUGGAAGUUUAAUCGUAACCAUUCUGUCAUUUAACCAUAUAGAAGACUUCCAUCAGUGGGGGCCUUAUCCCCACUGAUGGUUAGUCGCACUUAUCACGCAGAGCCUGACUGACUUUUCUAAGAGCUGAAGCUCUAAGA